UCUCCGUUGGUGAACCAGCGGAGGGAUCAUUAUAGAGUUUUCUAAACUCCCAACCCAUGUGAACUUACCAUUGUUGCCUCGGCAGAAGCUGCUCGGUGCACCCUACCUUGGAACGGCCUACCCUGUAGCGCCUUACCCUGGAACGGCUUACCCUGUAGCCGCCGGCGGACCACCAAACUCUGAUUACUUUGGAUAUCUGAGCGUACUUUUAAAUAAGUCAAAACUUUCAACAACGGAUCUCUUGGUUCUGGCAUCGAUGAAGAACGCAGC
rnacentral:misc_RNA from 1 species